AAGUCGUAACAAGGUUUCCGUAGGUGAACCUGCGGAAGGAUCAUUACAACGUAUCCAACGUAAACAAACGCGAACUUCCCUUUGGGUCACAGGACCAAAUGCAGGCCGCUGCUUUGGUUAUGAGGUUAGUUAGGCUGAACUGUCAACAGAGUGUUCCGUUGAUGGAGGUGUCUGGAGAAGUCCAGUCGCCUGGAGCACCAGUUCUUGGCCCGGAUCAGUUCUUCGCGAACGUGUCCGAACUUCGCCUGUCCCAAAGUGUAUCAACCAUCAGAUCUUAUUGUACCCUUUAUUAACCCUGUAAACUUUUGAACUGAACUCUGAGAGCAGUGCGGCAGUCGUUGUUGGCUUCGGUCACGGAUCGCUUAACGCAUUGUCUUUCUAAACUUUACGUAAUUAAGAACAACUCUUAACAACGGAUAUCUUGGCUCUC
rnacentral:misc_RNA from 1 species